AGCGAACGCUGGCGGCAUGCCUAACACAUGCAAGUCGCACGGGUCGGCUUCGGCGUGUCUUUCUCCGACGUGUGAGGAACGCGUAGAGCUCUGUCCUCUGGCGGAGGUUACCUGCGUGAAACUGCGGCUAAGACCUCAUGGACCGCCGGUGUUAGAGCCUGAUUCUAAUUCUCGCAUCGCGAGUUAUGUGUCGCCGGGGGGUGAGCCUUCGUCCGAUUCGCUGGGUGGAGUGGUAGUGGCCCACCAAGGCGGAGAUCGGUAGCUGGUCUGAGAUGGUGAUCAGCACUACUGGGAGUGAGACACGGAGGAGACUCUUACGGGAGGAAGCAGUGGGGAAUAUUGGACGAGGGGCGCGAGAAUGAUGCAGCCAUGUCGCGUGGGUGAAGAAGGUGUUAGGAUUGUAUAGGCCUUUCGAAGGGGACGAUGGUGACGGUACCCGAAGAAGAAGCCCCGGCUAACUUCGUG
rnacentral:rRNA from 1 species